UACGAAGGGUCCAAGCGUUGUUCGGAAUCAUUGGGCGUAAAGCGCGCGCAGGCGGAUCAGCAAGUCAGGUGUGAAAUCUCGAGGCUCAACCUCGAAACUGCGCCUGAAACUGCUAGUCUAGAAUGUCGGAGGGGGUAGGGGGAAUUUCACGUGUAGGGGUAAAAUCCGUAGAGAUGUGAAGGAACACCGGAGGCGAAGGCGCCUACCUGGACGACUAUUGGACGCUGAGGCGACGAAAGCGUGGGGAGCAAACAGG
rnacentral:rRNA from 1 species